rnacentral:lncRNA from 12 species
UAUUUAUUUUCCACAGGUGGGAUUUGUGGUCAAAUAUGGGUGUUUCCAUUCAACCUACCACGUUCCACAGAUUUUAUCAGGUUUUUCCCGGGCAUAUUUUCUCUUGUUCUCUUUCAUUCUCUACUAAACACAUGUGGAAGCAAGACUCAAGACUGGGAAUACACACUAGUGGCGGGAGAUGCCACCCCAGUUUCCUGGACCAGAAAAUGAAGACACAAUGCAGACUCAAUGGCCAAGGUGAUGAGAGACACGAUGCGGGUGACAGUCCCUCCUGCCCAGCUCGUCAUGUGGACUGCAACAGUCCGCUCAUGGAGUGCUGCUGCCUUGUGACUCUGAGGAUCUCACUGCUCUGA